UUGGGAAUUUUGGACAAUGGGGGCAACCCUGAUCCAGCCAUGCCGCGUGAGUGAAGAAGGCCUUCGGGUUGUAAAGCUCUUUCGGCGGGGACGAAACGGUCCGUGACAACACCACGGACUAAUGACAGUACUCGCAGAAGAAGCACCGGCUAACUACGUGCCAGCAGCCGCGGUAAUACGUAGGGUGCAGGCGUUAAUCGGAAUUACUGGGCGUAAAGCGUGCGCAGGUGGCUCCUUAAGUCAGAUGUGAAAUCCCCGGGCUUAACCUGGGAACUGCGUUUGAAACUGAGGAGCUAGAGUGUGGAAGAGGGGGGUGGAAUUCCAGGUGUAGCGGUGAAAUGCGUAGAUAUCAAGAGGAACACCUGAGGUGAAGACGGGUUGCUGGGCUGACACUGACGCUGAGGCGCGAAAGCCAGGGGAGCAAACGGGAUUAGAUACCCCGGUAGUCCCUGAGCGGGCUGGCAAGGCGC
rnacentral:rRNA from 1 species